rnacentral:rRNA from 1 species
GAUGAACGCUGGCGGCGUGCCUAAUACAUGCAAGUCGAGCGAACAGACGAGGAGCUUGCUCCUCUGACGUUAGCGGCGGACGGGUGAGUAACACGUGGAUAACCUACCUAUAAGACUGGGAUAACUUCGGGAAACCGGAGCUAAUACCGGAUAAUAUAUUGAACCGCAUGGUUCAAUAGUGAAAGACGGUUUUGCUGUCACUUAUAGAUGGAUCCGCGCCGCAUUAGCUAGUUGGUAAGGUAACGGCUUACCAAGGCGACGAUGCGUAGCCGACCUGAGAGGGUGAUCGGCCACACUGGAACUGAGACACGGUCCAGACUCCUACGGGAGGCAGCAGUAGGGAAUCUUCCGCAAUGGGCGAAAGCCUGACGGAGCAACGCCGCGUGAGUGAUGAAGGUCUUCGGAUCGUAAAACUCUGUUAUUAGGGAAGAACAAAUGUGUAAGUAACUAUGCCCGUCUUGACGGUACCUAAUCAGAAAGCCACGGCUAACUACGUG